UACGUAGGGUGCAAGCGUUUGUCCGGAAUUAUUGGGCGUAAAGAGCUCGUAGGCGGUGUGUCGCGUCGGCCGUGAAAACCUGCAGCUUAACUGUGGGCUUGCGGUCGAUACGGGCAUCACUGGAGUUCGGCAGGGGAGACUGGAAUUCCUGGUGUAGCGGUGAAAUGCGCAGAUAUCAGGAGGAACACCGGUGGCGAAGGCGGGUCUCUGGGCAGUAACUGACGCUGGAGGCACGAAGGCCAGGGGAGCAAACGGG
rnacentral:rRNA from 1 species